UCUCAAUAGUGUCUGACAUUUAUUGAAAAUAUGGAAAAUACUUUUCUCCAGGUAGUAUAAAGGAGUUAAGCAGAAGAUACAAGUUAUUUUGUUGAUCAAAAAGCACCUGAGAAAAUGCUGCAAAUUCAGAAGAGAAAUGGAUUCUGGGCAAAACUAACUGGUCCACAAGAGAAAAUGAGAGACUCGAUUUGGCUGCCAGGCACAACUGAGCCCUGGCAGCCAUGUGGCAGGAGCACAAAAAGUCUCUGGGAUUGGGGAGGAAAUGGGUCUCGCUGAAGGUAACAGGUCCCUUGAGGGGCAGCCAGCUGUCUGGAUCAUUGUCCAGGGGCUGUGUCCAGCCCAGAUACCUCCGAGGUGAGUACAGAUCACUAGAAGCAGCAGUCUGUCGGUGGAAUGCGAUGGAUGGCGAUGGCAGUGGCAGCGCAGGUCUGUGGGCAGCAUGAUGUAGUCGUCUGGAAGUCUGGUGAGGAGGAGGGGGGUUGGCAGCGGCGGCUGUCAGUGGUCUGUCAGUGUGUAACAGGAGCUCAGCUUUGUGCAACUGGAGCGCAGGACAGCGUCCAAAUGUGCAUGGGAGGGGCUGAGCUGGCACGAGAGGGCGGAGGCAGCCCGCUCCAGAGUGAGGCCCAGGGGCGGCAGCAGGAGCCUGGAGCGCUAUUCCUGGAACAAAGGGGAUCACCCACUGCAGGGCGGGCCCCGUGAGGCGGGUGAUGAGGAACGUCACCUUCAGGGCGUCGUUGGAGAACGUGUUCUCGUCCACGAACAUGUAGGAGCUCGUCUGCACGAUGAACUCCGGGAGCCGGUCGGUAUCGCCAUCAAACGUCUCGGGAAAGGGAAUCGGGUUCCUCCAGCGACGCGCCGCGGGCCGGAGGGGCCGAGCCAGGAGGGCCUUCAUCAGCUGCACUCGACCUUCCAUCGCGCCGCGCUGGCUCCGCUGAGUUUAGCUGAGCUGCGCUGGGCUUCGCCGGGGGCUGCACCGAGGCGUAGCGGGAAGUGCAUGUCGCGGGAGGAGAAGCCGGGAUGUGGGCGGAGCC
rnacentral:lncRNA from 1 species